rnacentral:sRNA from 1 species
AGCAGCCGCGGUAAUUCCAGCUCCAAUAGCGUAUAUUAAAGUUGUUGCAGUUAAAAAGCUCGUAGUUGAAUUUCGGGAUUAAUUUACCGGUCGUGCUAUUGUACGUACUGGUUUUAUUGAUUCCUCCCUUCUGACGAACUAUGAUGUCAUUAAUUUGGUGUCUUAGGGAAUCAGGACUGUUACUUUAGAAAAAUUAGAGUGUUUAAAGCAGGCUCACGCUUGAAUACAUUAGCAUGGAAUAACGGAAUAGGACGUUUGAUUCUAUUUUGUUGGUUUCUAGGAUCGACGUAAUGUUUAAUAGGGAUAGUUGGGGGCAUUAGUAUUCAAUUGUCAGAGGUGAAGUUCUUGGAUUUAUUGAAGACUAACUACUGCGAAAGCAUUUGCCAAGGAUG